rnacentral:rRNA from 1 species
AUUGAACGCUGGCGGCAUGCUUUACACAUGCAAGUCGAACGGUAACAGGCCGCUAGGUGCUGCCGAGUGGCGAACGGGUGAGUAAUGCAUCGGAACGUGCCCAGUCGUGGGGGAUAACUACUCGAAAGAGUAGCUAAUACCGCAUACGAUCUAUGGAUGAAAGCGGGGGACCGUAAGGCCUCGCGCGAUUGGAGCGGCCGAUGUCAGAUUAGGUAGUUGGUGGGGUAAAGGGGCACCAAGGCAACGAUCUGUAGCUGGUCUGAGAGGACGACCAGCUACACUGGGAGUGAGAAAGAGCAGAGACUCCGACGGUGGGACGCAGUGGGGAAUCUUAGACAAUGGGGGAGAGCCUGAUCCAACAAUGCCGCGGGAAGGAAGAAGGCGUCAGGGUUGUAAAGUGCUGUUGUACGGAGGGAAACGGCGCUGGUUAAUACCCGGAGAUAAUGACGGUACCGUAAGAAUAAGCACCGGCUAACUACGUG